CAACCCUCGCGCUCCCCUCGGGGAGCACGGUGUUGGGGACCGGCAGCACACUGAGCCGACCCCGAAAUGGAGUGGCGGCCCGUCCGCGGCGACCUCUGCGUAGUAAUCUCACCUCGCACCGGGACCCCGACGCGGCCACGCCUUGAAACCCCCCAAUUUCUGAA
rnacentral:misc_RNA from 1 species